rnacentral:lncRNA from 1 species
AUCCAUCCCACUGCCAUUUGGAGUGCUGUUGAUCCCUAAAGAUGGCUGGAUCAGGAAUAGAAUCCUCAGUUCUAUCCUCCUCCUACAUUUCCAGUCUUCUUGGAUCUUAGUCUUCUUUGAUUCAGAGACACUGGCCUCCUAACUAUUCCUGGAAUAAGACACACCAUAUUUUGGCUCUUGGCAUUUUCUCUGAAUGUUCCCCAUACCUGGACAUCCUUCCUCAUCUCUGCCUCCUGAUUUUCCUGGAUUUCCUCAGAUUUCAGUCUAUGAUGCCAUGAAUAUCAUCUUAUCCUAUGAAUUCUCAG